rnacentral:rRNA from 1 species
AUUGAACGCUGGCGGCAGGCUUAACACAUGCAAGUCGAGCGGAGAUGAGGUGCUUGCACCUUAUCUUAGCGGCGGACGGGUGAGUAAUGCUUAGGAAUCUGCCUAUUAGUGGGGGACAACAUUCCGAAAGGAAUGCUAAUACCGCAUACGUCCUACGGGAGAAAGCAGGGGAUCUUCGGACCUUGCGCUAAUAGAUGAGCAUAAGUCGGAUUAGCUAGUUGGUGGGGUAAAGGCCUACAAAGGCGACGAUCUGUAGCGGGGCUGAGAGGAUGAUCCGCCACACUGGGACUGAGACACGGCCCAGACUCCUACGGGAGGCAGCAGUGGGGAAUAUUGGACAAUGGGGGGAACCCUGAUCCAGCCAUGCCGCGUGUGUGAAGAAGGCCUUAUGGUUGUAAAGCACUUUAAGCGAGGAGGAGGCUACUGAGACUAAUACUCUUGGAUAGUGGACGUUACUCGCAGAAUAAGCACCGGCUAACUACGUGCCAGCCGCCGCGGUAAGAC